AUUUCUUGGCAGAGUGGAAUUAAAGAAACACCCACAAAGUUAAAGCCAGUUCUACAAAGUUCUGUCUUUCUGCUGCCUUUCACUCACUUUCUUCCUGUAUUAUUUUACUAUUUUACUUCCUCAUAGAGCAGUAAGGUCAAGAUAGUGAGCCCAAGCUGCUGGCUACUAGCUGAGAUGGAGCCUUUGAGGUGGAGAGUGGGAUCUGAGAUUAUUGUGCCUUUCACUGGAGACUUAAGGCAAAUCUGUGCAACUCAGAAGUAACUACAUUUGACCAGCUGCAUGCUUGAUCUGAACGUCACCUUGUAACUGCUCUGGUACAGAUCUUAACACAAGGCUCUCAGGCCCUCCUACCAGUCUGACAAGCUCUGCUUAUUGUCCAGUGCUUCCUGCUGCCUCCUGGAACGCUGCCAGCUGUCCUGAUGUAAACCGGCAAAGGCCAAAGCAGCCCUGCCAUAAAGACCUUUGCUGAGAAGUGAUCUCUGCAGCCUCCUCCUUUUCUUUGCAGUGCCAGCAAAGAUAGCACAGCUCUCCAAACUGGAACCAUUAGAGGAAUUCAUUCAUUCAUUUAAUUAAUUUUCUAUUAUUUGGCAUAAAAUAAGAGAACCCAAAUAAACUCUCUUUCAACCAUUCUUCA
rnacentral:lncRNA from 1 species